GACCUACUUCCUCCUCCCCUCUCCUCUCCCACCUCUUCUCCUUCCUUCUUCACAAAGGCCGCACCCUCCCUCCUGCCAUCAGGAUACAGUUCCUCUAUAGUUCUUUCAUAGUGCAAUUAGUUGCAAUGCUAGGUGCAACUCAUGACAACUGUCUAAGGCCACUUGGUAGGUAAGGAUGAGGAGAGAGAAAUGCUCUGCAAAAGAGGGACAUCUAGUUCUAGUUUUGACCCAAAACCACCCAGAUCCAUCCGAAGUACGUCCUGAUCUCCGGCUCUACAAGAAGAUUUCUUCUCGGACUGCAAGUGCAUUCUGAUCUGCAGUGGUUCCAGAUUUGCAGUGAAUUCAUCUUGGCCCCAUCCAACACCAAGGUUUGGGAUUCUAGGGGGGUCGUCCAAUUUGGUUGUGGAAAUGACCAGAGAGGAAUAUAAGAGGGCUGAGCAAUCUCUGUCAAUGUCGUCGUUGCCAUCAUUAUGAAUGUGAAGUAGGUCAUUGAAGGAGAGACUUGUUAAAGGAUUUUCAAUGAAAUUGAAAUACAAUCAGAAAACUUCGUCAAAUGGUGGAGAUCUGAUCGGAGCUGAACUUGAAGUUUGGGUUGACGGCAGUGGCGAGGGCACCCAUCUCUUCGCGAUUGAGGCCUCUGUCACCGUUGGUGUCAAAUCUGUCAAAAGAUUGAACGGACUUUUGUCUGUUCUUGUCAUCACCGUCUUGGACGUCGAUCUCUUUGAUGAAGCAAUUAGAGAUUUAGAGUUUGUCUGUGCUGAUGAGAGAGAGAGAGAGAGAGAGAGAAAGGAGGAAUUUGGAUUGGAUUGUGAGGGAAUAGAGACAUGUUUCAGCAUUUCAAAAAAAAAAAGCAAGGGUUUUUGAUCAGGGAUGAUAGAUCACGAGGGAUAGAGGAUUUGGAUGGCUUUGUGAGAGAGCCAGAUCCGCCAAGAUGCAUACGCUUUCUCUCUCUCUCGAUCUUAGUCGUCCACAUUAGCAUUUUCACCUCAAUUCUUUAAGGGUCUUGGGGUUGCAGGUUGGGGUGGAGUUGCAGGAGGGAGGGUUCAGCCUUUGUGGAGGGAGAAGUGGCGGAAGAGGAGAGGGGAGUUGGAAGUAGGUCCAUACGCCAUUAAAAAUGAAUUGAAUAAGAAUAAAAGAAUUGAGGUUGGGGUAUUUUAGGAAAGUUACUUUUAUUUCUUUCUUGUAGUGCAUGAGUAAUUACUAAUUCUAGGGAUUGAGUAAAUAUUUUCUAAGUUGAAACUAGUCAAUGUAAAAUAAAUUUGAAA